rfam:Triticum aestivum genome assembly, contig: Triticum_aestivum_CS42_TGACv1_scaffold_223152_3B
UGUCUACUCCCUCCGUCCCAAAAUUCUUGUCUUAGAUUCAUUUAGACAUGGAUAUAUCUGAAACUAAAACGUAACUAGAUACAUCCGUAUUUAGACAAAUCUAAGACAACAAUUUUGGGACAGAGGGAGUACUAC